UACGAAGGGGGCUAGCGUUGCUCGGAAUCACUGGGCGUAAAGGGUGCGUAGGCGGGUUCUUAAGUCAGAGGUGAAAUCCUGGAGCUCAACUCCAGAACUGCCUUUGAUACUGAGAGUCUUGAGUUCGGGAGAGGUGAGUGGAACUGCGAGUGUAGAGGUGAAAUUCGUAGAUAUUCGCAAGAACACCAGUGGCGAAGGCGGCUCACUGGCCCGAUACUGACGCUGAGGCACGAAAGCGUGGGAGCAAACAGGG
rnacentral:rRNA from 1 species